CAUGUUAAAUAAUCAUUGUGCAUGGUUUGCAUGGAAACCCAUCAAAUGCUGGUAUGCCAAUUUUAUGAUCUAUUUUUGAGCCUUCGAGUGACUCCGAAUACAUUUGUCAGCCCUACUUCUCAGGCUUAUAGGAAUACUCAUAAUGACAUCGACUUCCUCAUCCACAAUAGACCCCUAACAUUUCUGUUGACAUUUAUUUUUAUUUAUCAAAGAGUUUCAUAUGAUGAUGUUGUUUUUACUGAUACCAUUAAGGACAUUAAGGAUUUCUUCUACAAUAUGGAU
rnacentral:lncRNA from 1 species